rnacentral:rRNA from 1 species
CAUCCUUGUCAUUAGUUGCUACAUUCAGUUGGGCACUUUAAGGAGACUGCCGGUGACAAACCGGAGGAAGGUGGGGAUGACGUCAAGUCUUCAUGGCCCUUAUAGGUGGGGCUACACACGUCAUACAAUGGAUGGUACAAAGGGUUGCCAACCCGGGAGGGGGAGCUAAUCCCAUAAAACCAGUCGUAGUCCGGAUCGCAGUCUGCAAUUGGAUUGCGUGAAGUCGGAAUCGCUAGUAAUCGUGGAUCAGAAUGUCACGGUGAAUACGUUCCCGGGUCUUGUACACACCGCCCGUCACACCAUGGGAGCGGGUUGCGCCAGAAGUAGUUAGCUUAACCGCAAGGAGGGCGAUUACCACCGCCGGGUUCGUGACUGGGGGGAAG